AGAAGACGAACUCCAAGAAGGCGGCACCUUGUCCUCAACUGAGAUGCCAUUCACGCUUCUGGCACCAACUGUAAUUUUCCUCUGGAGAAUCCCUUACCUUCCUCCGCCCAUGUGUUUUCAGGGAACUAGAAGCUACUCUGGGCUCCAGUCUUUUUUUCUUAUUUUUUUUAAGGAUUAUUUAUUUAUUUUUAAAGAUUGGCACCUGGGCUAACAACUGUUGCCAAUCCUUUUAUUUUCUGCUUUAUCUCCCCCAAACCCCCGUACACAGUUGUAUAUCUUUAGUUGCAGGUCCUUCUAGUCGUGGGAUGUGGGAUACCGCCUCAACGUGGCCUGACGAGUGGUGCCAUGUCUGCACCCAGGAUCCAAACCCUGGGCCGCAGCAGCGGAGCGCGUGAACUUAACCACUCGGCCACGGAGCCGGCCCCCGGGCUCCAGUCUUGAAGACUGUGCACACACAGCUCAAACCAAUCAGCACAUUCCAUCUGUCUGGCUGGAAAGAUUGCCUUGUUAUGGGCAUACCGUUGAAGUCGCCUACCGGGAUGAAUGUGAUUCAAUUCUGGGACUUUUAUUUGAGCUUUUCUACAGGAUCUUAAGCCUGAGAGGAUGUUCAGGCUGGAGCUGCUGUUGCCAUCCUACCUCCACGUUAAGUUUAUCAGAAAGGAUGGAAGGCUGAGCCCAGAAAUAGAGAAAAUGGAAUCCUGAUGGGCUCCAAAUCCUGUCAUGUCCAAUUCGGGACAACCAUGGAAUUUUCACUUACAUGGACCUACAAAUAUCGUUCUUAAGGAGCCCCAAAUUGAAUUCUGAUUGAUAAUACAGAGAAGCCAGAGAAGCAUAAGGUCUUGGCUCCUGAGAAAUAAAAGCUUCCAUCAAGGCCUACAACAGUGGCAACAGUUGGUUUCAUUGAAUUGGAAGCUGGCUCCCUGUUAUGCUCUGCUAAUAGGGGAUGCUAGAGAGGAGAUGCAAGCCUGGAGGAGAAAGAAGAGAAUGCAUCUUCCUGUAUGCUUCUAGUUCCUGUGUGAGCGGUCCUAGCCGUGAUUCUUAAUUUCAGGAGUGACUAGGCCUUCCCAUAGCAGCAGGUGGCAGCACUUCUCAUGGUCCUGUGGCCUCUCCGCAUUUCAGCUUUUCUGAAGGAUCUACCUACAUCUCUUGGAACUAACUCCUUGGUUGGGCCCCUCAUGGUAGAGUUUUGUGAGUGCCAUAUGGCCGCUAUUUGAAGACAGACCAGCUCAAAUAUACCUUUCAAACUGGAAGACAAGCUGGACCACAUCUUCAGCAGCUGUGGGAGAUGACUGACUGCCUAUUCCUUUGAGCGACAUAAAUGAUGAAUCCACACAAAGGACCCUGUUAGUGGAUGGCUCUUGGCUAUUGUCUAUUACCCUGGGACAAAGAAAAUAGGCUGAAAGACUUGGAGAAGCAUAAGAACAUUAGAACACAUGAUGGUGACCAGGGCCCUAAAUGGAGAUCAUGGGCUCCUUUCCCUGGAAGCCUGUUGGCGCUGGAGGGCCCCUAUCUACUCAGAGAGUAACCUUUGCUUGCAUUUAUACCAAACUUCCACACCCACGUCAGAACUGGAAUCCUUGAUCCCCCAUUGCCCGGACGAAAGUAAUUAUUGAACUUGUCCACUGAAACCAUCCUCUCAUGCCCAAAUGCAGUCAGUAGCCACAAGAAAAGAAGACAUUGAACUUCAAGAAGUUGGUUUGCAGUCUGGACUUGCAGCUCUAAACUCCACCCACCACAGUGAAAUUUUGGAUGGCAGCUGCUCAGGCAAGUGGGUUGACUGGGCUUUGACCUGGGUUUGUAAAUCAGGUUAACACUCCUGUUGUUACUGCUGCCCAUAGGAAGACAUUUUUUCUGGGAUGCUCUUCACUUAAAACAAACGCCACCCUUUAAACCCAUUAAUAGCUACUUCUAUAAUAGGAGUGAGAAUGAAAAUCUCUGAUUUUGAGAGUGUACAAAGAAGCGGCAGGUUACUCAGCUGCUGGAAGUAAUUGCUAUUUGUAUAUUCAAAAUACUCAAAUGUUCACCUAUAUGCCAUCCGGGACCUCAUUAGAAUAAGUUCGUCUAUUGUUCCUCAAUCAUUUUUCACUGUAACUCUAAAUUGGUUAUUUGAAUUCUUUCAAAGAAUGCUAUGGUUGGAUUACUUGGGGAUCUGGGUAUAAAAUGCAAUCUGUCCAGUGUUUAUAUGUAAUCUUAUCGGACCAUAUCUAACUGAAUGGUAGGAAUUAGAGGUAAUGGAUCAAAUCAAUUAUUUACCCUCCUCCAAAGUAAUAUGAUAAACCAGCAGAACAGUGUGAAAAUAUAGGGAAUUUAGUUAAUGGUGCUUUUGAUUAAGAAGAGAGCAGAAAAAUAAAAAGAAAAUGACAAAAACAACAGAAAAGAAGGCAUGUUUCCAGGAAAUCUUUUUUUCAGUAGUCCAUUUUGAUGUGCCAAAUUUUGGCUGUUUAUAUUCAAUGCAUUGUGACUACUGUUCAAGUCAAUGGUUUAGUAAUUUAAUUGUCAAUUUUGAGAAACAACCAUCAGGUAACACGUGGAGGCUGGUCACACCUGAGCAAGGUGUGUGCACCACGAGGAUCCACCACCCUGAGUGUCCAGGAAGGCCCCGGGAGAUAGAUGCCAGGCAGCAUUCCUCCAGAGAGAGCACUGUGAUCCUUGGGGACUCAUUUCAGGAAAGGCAGCUGCACGUCUCUGUCAGGGAUGUUUGGGCGAAGCCAUAUUUCCUCAGCUUCUCCAAGAGUGGAGGGACCUUUUCCUGAAGAGUCUGACAGGAUUUGUUUGGGCUAAGAGAUCUGAAUCCAGGGCUCCAAGUUGCUUUUUAGAUUUUAAGAAGCAUGAUUUUCAAAUGCCUACCAUGGAGUUCCUUCUCAGACAUCUCUGUAGUGACACAUUUAUGAGCACAGAGUAGGCAUUUAUUAGUGGUCUGUUGUUUACUGAACAGUAGUAAUGCAACGCAUUAAGGAAUUGUAUAUGGAAGGUUAAGGAACUGUACCUGGAAGGUGAGAAAAAUGGAAUGUUGGAAAAACAAAACAUUUCUUUGAAUGGCCACCAUAUGGAAGGAUCUAGAUGGGAAUUCAUCUAGUGAAGGGCAGCCAGGUUGUUGUUAUGUCCCCUUCCUUUCCUUUCUGUUGAGUUUCUCAGGAAAGAAAUUUAAGAGGGAGGAACAAGUGUAGAGAUCCAGGAAGUGUGAUGGGCUAUGGGUGGGGUGGGAGACAGAUGAAGGAAGCAACUGACUUAUGGAAUGCCCUUGCAUUUUAUUUCUUGUCUUCCUAGGAUUGGUUUCCUUCACAUUUGUGUAUGUGGGGUUCAGAUUAUGUCUCAGAGCUCUCAGGAGGAUUUGAUCAGACAAACUUACCCUUAACUCCAGUAUUGGGGAAUGGUGCUGGAUUUCCCAUUUGCUGACUUUUUAAGAUCACUCUUCUUUCUUUCUUUAUGCACAUUAUGAAAAAUUUAAAAAACAUAGGGAACAGGAAAAAAAGAAUUCUUGCAAUUCCAUUAUUCAAAGUAAGCCUUUGUUAAUGGUUGUGUCCCUUUUUCCAGUCUGUGUUUUUUCCAUAUAUAUGUAGAGCAUAGGGUCAGGACUAUAAUAUCUUUGGAGUCAGGAGGGUCUCAACUCAAGUACCUGUUCUCUCUACCAGCUGUGUGAACCUGAUAAGUAACUUAGCUUGGCUGAGUCUUUUACAUGGACUGAAUAUAAAAAUACCUAUAUUAGAUGGUGACUGUAAGAAUUAAAUGAGCUUAUGUGUGAAAGUUACUUAUGUUUUAGCUAACAUUAAUAUGGUAGCUAAUGUUAACACUAUUAGAAUUGUGAUAAUAUAGGAUACAUGCCAUUUCUUGCUUUUUCCACUGAACAUUAUAACCUGUUUUCUAGCUUAUUAUAAACUCAAUACAAUCAUUUUUUGCAAGUACAUAAUAUUUUAUUGCAUAUUUUACCAAAUUAUCAUAUUUUAGCACAUGUAAUUUCCUUUAAAUUGUGUACUAUUUUAGGAAUUUUUUUAUUCUAGAAAAUAUCAUCAAAAAGUAGAGGAUAGCAGUAGAGAUAAUAGGAAAAUUAUAUGAAAGGAGAGAAAAGAAGAAAAUAAAGAAUUCAAUCUGCUACUACAUGCAGUCUAAAACACACAAAAACUUUUCAAAUUUAAUAACUUAUUUUCACAUCUUGUAUUUUUAUUCAUGGAAAAUUAUUGCAAAUUAACGGAAUGGCAAGUUGGUUGUAAAAACCUCAUCAUGGUUGGUGAGAAAGAAUGCUUGCUAGCAAUCGAUGAAAAAGCAAAUAGUUUUGGAAGUACUUUAGUUGGAAGCAGUCAAAAUGAAACCAUAAAUCUUUGGAUUGAAGCUCCUCCUUAUUGUUGUCCUCGAGAACCAUAUACUUCUGCCAGAGAUCCAUCGUCCACGCCCCUGUCCCAUGUUGCUCACUUCUGAAUCCGUGCCACACAGGUGCAUUCCAUUUGGAGAAGCUAAAUCCCAAGGAAGAAAGUAGUCCCUAGACACAAAGUAGUCUGGGAUUGCAAAUUUUCUGGGCUAAUUGCAUAAAAAAUUACCACAGUGUUGGCAGAUGGUAUAAAGUUAUUUUACACCUGUUAAAGGUAAUGAAUGUCCACCAUUAGGUUUUUGGGAGGAGGGUAUUAGCUAAUGAUAAACAUCUUUUCACUUUCUGAUAUGAGGGAAACCCACAAUGUCACCUCUUGGGUUUACGGUGGCGAAGAAAAGUCUUUUACCGCCUUUGUGGUCUCUACGAAAUGUCUGGACUCUUGAUGUUGGGACAACCAGGGUAAUGAAGUUUUGUAUGUUGAAGGACCCCAAAUAGAGGAGCUUGUGCCAAUAGGGGAGCUUAAAUUUAAUUUGAUAGAUAUUUAGUGAGUACCUAUUUAUGUGCCAGGACUUAUAGAGGGAUUGAUCAUCCUUUAAUCUUCCUAAUUUCAUACUCUUCAUGCCUCUGUUGCCAACCAGCCUUCUAGAUCUGCAGUAACAACUGCCAAAUCUUAGUGACUUGCAACCACACAGGUUGAUUUCUUACUCACCAACAUGGGACCUAGGCUGAAGAAUGACCUCUAUUGGAACCUUGUGGGUUUGAGGCCCAAAGUGAAGAAUUGUGGUGGAACCAUGCGAUGGCUAUUUAAGCUUUUGCUGAGAACUUGUCCACAUCACUUCUGCUCACAUUCAUUAGUCAGCACAGGCAUAAUUGCCAAGUCUGAUAUCAAUGGUGUGGGGAUAUAUAAUCCUUUCUCAGGGAGUGGUAUUGAAAAAUUGAGAAUAAUAAUGUAAUUUGCCGCAUUACGUGUCAGGUUGGCAUCCUCCUCUGGAGUAACUGUGGCUCUUUUUUCAGAGCUGACUCCCAGAACUAAACAUGAAUAUUCCUUGUGUGGUCUGGCCAGUACAACAUACAGAGGUGCUAUAUAACCCUUUCCUCAGUCCUAAUAUUAAGCUUUUAUAAUAAAGCCUAACAUUGUAGUAGAUUUUGUUUAUUUUUAGUGGCCAUAUCACACUGUUAUGACCCAUCGAGACUGCUGUCAUCUGAAACCUUGGGUCUUUCCCAUUCCCACAUAUUUGUGCUCCAUCCUAUGCUGCCCCUCUUCUGUCCUUUGAUGUUAACCCCAAUUUGGACCAUAUAUCAGGAGUAAGCUAGUGGCUUCACACAUCAAGCAACUUUACAGAGAGGAAACAUUUCCCCGCUUGUGUGAUUUCCUCAAAGAUCCUUCAGAAUCCCUCUAUCUCACCUGUUAUGGAUUGAAUUGUAUCCUCCUAAAUUCCUGUGUUGAAGCUCUAACCCCUAAUGUGACUGAAUUUGGAGAUAGAGCCUUUAAAGAGGUAACUAAGGUUAAGUGAGGUCACAAAGAUGGAGCUCUAAUCCGAUAGGACUGCUGUCCUUAUACGAAGAGGAAGAGACGCCACGGGUCUGGAAGCACAGAGAAAGGCUAUGCGAGGACACGGUGAGAAGGCAGCCUCAGCAGAAAGCAAUCCUGCAAGAACCUUGAUCUUGAACUUCUGACCUCCAGAACUGUGAGAAGUAAAUGCCUGUUGUUUAAGCCCUCCAGUCUGUGGUAUCUUGUCGUGGCAGCCUGAGCAGACUAAUCCCCCACCCUACCCACCCUGCAUGCUCACGCAUGUGCACACAAACGCACACUCACACAUACUGUGAUGAGAGAAAGAAGGAGUACCUGGCCGAUCUACCUUGUAUCUUUGCCAAAAUUAUGACUCUAUGGAGUGUUCUUUGUGAAAUGUACCAAUUAAAGAAACACACAUAUUACAAAAAGGAUCUUUAAUUUAUAAGUAGUAGGCAUGACAUAAGCGUUUAAAAAUCACUGUGACUAAUAGCUACAGCUAAAAGGCAAGGGGAGGAAACUGCAGGGGAAGGAAAGAGCUAAAAUUAACUUGAAGGAAAAAUGGAUCUCCCAUUAAGCAUUAGAAGGCUAAGAUGAGUCCACCCUGUUGUUAUUCCAGGCCCUCACCUGUGUUACCCAUCACCAAACUGAUGAUUUCCUUUCUUGAGUGCCGGCCUUUUCAGUACUCUGCUUCCUCUAACCACUGCUCAGUGUGCCCUAGGCUUAUCCUGAGCCACUUUAGUUCAUGCCCCAUCUGAGGAACUCUUCACGGUACUCAGGGGAGGCCAGGGGUCUGUUCUGUAUAGCUAUGUGGAGAUUUUAAAUGUCCUGGGUGAUUAACAAGACAAGAAAUAACAAGUGUUGGAGAGGAUGUGGAGGAAAGGGGACCUUCAUACACUGCUGGUGGGAGUGCAAACUGGUAUAGCUGCUAUAGAAAACAGUAUGGAGAUUUCUCAAAAGCUUAAGAAUAGAACUACCAUGCGAUCCAGCUAUUCCACUGCUGGGUAUUUAUCUGAAGAACAUGAAAACACAAAUGCGUAAAGAUACAUGCACCCCUAUGUUCAUUGCAGCAUUAUUCACAAUAGCCAAGACUUGGAAGCAACCUCGGUGCCCAUCAAGAUACGAAUGGAUAAAGAAGAUGUGGUACAUAUACACAACGGAGUACUACUCAGCCAUAAGAAAUGAUGAAAUCUGACUAUUUGUGACAACAUGAAUGGACCUAAGGGUAUUAUGCUAAGCGAAAUAAGUCAGAGGGAGAAAGUCAAAUGCCAUAUCAUCCCACUCACAAAUAGAAGAUAAAAACAACAACAAACAAAAAUAUAGAGACAGACGUUGGAUUGGUGGUUACCAGAGGGGAAGGGGGAAGGAAAGAGGGUGAAAGAGGUGAUUAGGCACAUGUGUACGGUGAUGGGUUGUAAUUAGUCUUUGGGUGGUGAACAUGAUGUAGUCUACACAGAAUUCGAAAUAUAAUGAUGCCCAUUUGAAAUUUAUGUAAUGUUAUAAACCAUUGUUACCUCAAUUAAAAAAAAAUAAAUGUCCUAGGCAUUCUUCAAGGAUUCCCAGGAGAUUUUAAAGCACAUUUAUCCCGGGAACUCCACCCCAAACUUUGAAAACGUGUUGCUAUACACAUAUGAAUCAAUGCAUCCCAUAGUUUAUUUUAUGACUUGAACUUGCCUUCUCUUUAGUGUUGUCUACUCUUGUCAGUACUUCUGGAUGUUAAUGUAUGCAGCAUUCUGGGCCUAAGAAGGGCACUAUUUCUGGUUUGGACAUCGGCUAUUCACUUACUUUCUAAGCCUACCAUUGUCUUGCCAAAUUAUAAAUGGAAAGGUUGAAGUCAUCUCAGCUCCUCAAGCCACACUGUGUUUCAAAUCAAGUCAAAUCAAAACAAUAAGCCCCACCUGCAAGCUAAUUAGAUAGGUGUGGUUUGGGAUGCAGAGAAACUUAAAUUACAGUCUUUGGCUCCAAGGAAUUGAUGGUCUAACCCUAAACUAGGGGCUUGCAUCUUUCUAACCUGAAGAAAAUGGGAGAUCAAAAUAAGACAUUUCAGAAAGAAAGGAAAGUGAUCAUCACUAGUCUUGGGGGGUGGGUGCUGGUGAUGGAUGAAGUGAAAAGUUAACAACGUGACAGAGCAAAUGAGAGCCCAAGUCCUGGAGUCAGUGUUUGGGGUAUGUCCAGGGGUAUUCCCACUCACAUCGGGUUCUCAGACUCUCUCAGUUUCUGUUUCCCUGCUGCAGUAUGGAAAUAACAAGAGCCAAUCUACCAGACAGUGUUGUGAAAGGCAAUUAAAUGGGAUAAUAUGGAUAAAGGGCUUCAUAGGUGCUUGUUCUGGAAUAACUUCUCAAUAAAUUUUAGGACAGUUUGCUUUUUGCUUCUGAAUUUAAGAUGCAUUUCUCCAUAGGUACUAUUUUCAGAAUAAAUCACACAUUUUUCUUUAUCUUUAUAUGAGCUAUAUUUUUAAUUUAAUCGAGGCCCUCAAGUGUGUUAGGAGGGAGAAGAAAGUUUUUUCAUUCCUUAUGCAGGACUUUGCUAUCCUCCUGUUCAUUUUUUUUUUUUUUUUUAAAGAUUUUAUUUUUUCCGUUUUCUCCCCAAAGUCCCCCGGUACAUAGUUGUGUAUUCUUCGUUGUGGGUUCUUCUAGUUGUGGCAUGUGGGACGCUGCCUCAGCGUGGUUUGAUGAGCAGUGCCAUGUCCGCGCCCAGGAUUCGAACUAACGAAACACUGGGCCGUCUGCAGCGGAGCGCACGAACUUAACCACUCGGCCACGGGGCCAGCCCCUGUUCAUUUUUUUUUAACAUCAGGAAUGAAAAGAGGGAAGCCAGCCCCACCUGCGAGUCUGGGGCCGGGGGAGCUCAUAGUUCUGUUCCUGAUGGUCAUGUUGCUCCCUCUCUUUACAUUCUAAACCUCAUGAUUCUCUAAAAUCUCUCAAUUUCCUGAGUUUCCCUUCUCAUGGAGGCGGUGGCACAACCCCCUGUGUGGUCUGAGCUGGGGAUGGGAUUAAGAUUGAUUAAGAAUAAGGCUAUCUACAAGAAUCUGCCAUUUAUAAGUUGGGGGUUUGUCAGUUGUCUCUGUAUACGAAUGGUAAGUUGAAAGCAUAUAAACUAAAUUUCCACAAAAAGUGUUUGGUGGUUGAAUUGUCACUUUUUUUUGUGGGCAUGUGAGAGUUUUUCGCUUGGGCACAAGGAAUAAUUCUAGAUUAAUGUUUAAGUGUCAAUAAUUUUUCUUGCCAUAUUUUAAAAACAAUAUCGUAGAAUGAUACCCAUAUUCAUUCCGUGUCUCUUUUUUGUGUGUAUAUUUUUCUCUUUCUAUAGCCUAGAACAUUUUCUUCUUGAUUUCAUCACCUUUUAUAGCCAAGAAGUAAUUCCUUUCAAUCGAUUAAAUUGCAAGGCUGGAAAUCAUAAUUAUAUUACCACAGAUAUCAUUAAAAAUACAUACAACUGGAUAACAACAACAAAACAUCCCUUUAACUGCAUUUUUCUUUGUUCCUUAUCCACAGAGGAAAUAAAUUCCAAGUACUUAAUUUUAAAAGGUGAAGUUGGCUAGCCUUAGGGUUAAAACUCAUGGUAGAUAUUAAAUUGGCUAGAAAGCCAAGCAAUUGAUUGUGUACCUAAGUUCUAAAUUAACAUGCUCUUUAUAUAAAGAUAGAGUCACACAAUCUUUGCCUUUAUUAUCUUCUCUAUGUUGUGUGUGUGUGUGCGUGUGUGUGUGUGUGCGUGUGUAUGUGGUGUCUUAGGCUCUAAUGAAACCAUAAAAAGAACGAAACUUCACAAAUUUCAUAAAAGGUAAAUGUACAGAGAAUUGUAGGUGUUGUGUUAAUAACUUUACACGAUACAUGUUGCUUCUCAGGUAGUUGCAUCAACACUAAAACAAUAGUCAGUUGUGUCACUCAGGCAUUUAUUUUACUUCAAUUUUUGUGGCUGCAGUGUACCAAGAUUCUAGAAAAAAAGGAAAGGCAGCUAAAUUACAGAAACUAAAACCUUUCUCAGUUUCGAUUUAUUUAAAUUCCUUUGAGAUCCAAUGAUUUUUCUAGAUCCACUCUGUAUUCAAGUCCACCAGACAAGGAAUCCUAUCAUUUUGAAUUCAAUAAUGUUAUUUUCCAAGAGGAUUUUUUUCAGAGGGAGUCUUUUAACUCUCUUUGUCCUGAUUGCUUAUGCCCUUUGUUGUUUAUAAUGAGUAAACUGCAAUUGAGGGCACGCCUACCCACCAAACACGGCUGAGAAAAGUGGUUAAUAGGAUUCACAACAAAUAAGAAUAUUGUAGCAAAUGUGAGCUUUUAAUGCACUAACACAGUGGUGUUCAGGGCAAAUGAACAGAGGCUGCUCUUUGUCAGAGGGAAGGACUGUUAUUGGUGAAUGGGAGGCAUUAUGUAGUAGUGAUUUGGAUGUAUAUCAGAUCACUCGCCUUGUGAAUCAUUGUCAGAUGCGCCCACAUCCCUAGCUGACUCUUCUCUGUCCCAUUCUUUCCAAGGUAGCAUUACGGGCCAGCAUUGCAUCCAGCUGGGUGCUGAGUCAGCUUCUAUAUUGGCAAAUGGGAGCAAUUCAAAUUGUUUACAUUUGACUGGAAAAACAAGAUUUAAAAUUUUUAUUCUUAAGCUGUGUAGUCAGAGGAAAAAGAUAUUAUUUAGGCUUUAGGUUCUACUUAUCAUAUAGAUUCAUUGAUUUAUACUAUUUGCUAUGGACUGAAUUGUGUCCUCCCAAAAUUCGUAUCUUGAAGCCCUAACAUCCAAUAUGCCUGUAUUUGGAAAUAGGGCUUUUGAAGAGGUAAUCAAGGUUAAACGAAGUCAUAAAGGUGGAAUCCUAGUCCAUUAGGAUUGGUGUCCUUAUAAGAAAAGGAAGAGACACCAGGGGUGUGCAUGCACAGAGAUAAGGCCACGUGAGGACACAGUGAGAUGGCAGCUGUCUUGCAAGCUAAGGAGAGAGGCCUCAGAAGAAACCAGCCCUGUUGACACCUUGAUCUUGGAUUUUCAGCCUCCAGAAUUGUGAGAAAUAAAUGUCUGUUGUUUAAGCCCCCAAGCCUGGGAUUUUGUUAUGGUAGCCCUAGCAGACUAAUACACUAUUGAUGAGUAAUUCCAAAGAAAUUUCGUAUUCAAAAAUGAGUCUGUUGUAUUUAUUUCUACCAUUUGUACAUAUGGUUGAGUAUUGUUAGCAAGCUGUCCUCUUAUUUGUUGAAAAUAAUAUAUCCUAUGCCUAAUGGCUUUGAUGAGGAUUUUUAGGCUGCUUAAUUUUAAAACGGUUUAUGAUGAGGACUUUUAGGCUGGUUACUUUUAAAACUACAGAUGAGAAGCAGGCUCCAAGGAGUGGAAUUUGCUUGCUUGUCCCUUUGUUGGGAAAGAUUUACAUUUCUAAGGGAAACCUCUAUCUGUAAAGAUGCCUCCCUCUCUGUGCCAGGAAGAAGGGGGAUGGCCUUAUCUCUAGAAACUCUUAAUGCCAGAGGCAAGAACUUAAGUUGGUUGCUGUCUGGCAAUCUCAUGUAACUGAUUU
ensembl:lncRNA